CAAGUGCUUACCUGCCUAAUUAUAGCAACUCAACAAUGUAAUCAACUCUCCUCUACGUUUUCCCAGAUGAGUUUGAAUACCAAGUUUAGAAUCUGUAAUCCUGAAAUCCUGCUCCCACCCAGGAGUUGAGCCUACCUGAAUAGGAGUGUUGGGUGCCAACGCUAGACUGCUCUGAAGUACCACCGAUCGCACAAAUCCCUUCCUUCUUAUUGAUUGCUUUUCUAAAGGUCUUGGCAACAUCUGUGCUUUUUA